rnacentral:tRNA from 1 species
GGGGGUAUAGCUCAGCUGGCUAGAGCGCUUGCAUGGCAUGCAAGAGGUCAUCGGUUCGACUCCGAUUAUCUCCACAA